UACCCCUCUUCCUUUUGAAGAUCCACUUAUACCCUAUGGAUUUUACCCCUUCAAGUGGGUCAACCAAUGUCUAUACAUUUGUUGACCUUCAUGGAUUUCAUUUCAGAUUUUAUGACUUUCAGCUACUUAUCGGAGUCAGACCUCUGUAUCACAUCCAUAUAGGUGAUUAGAUCUUCAUUGUUCUUAUCGAGUUCAAUUGGAUCACCGUCUUGGAUCAAGAAACUAUAUUAUCAUCCGAUUGAUGCGAUACUCUAUCAGAUCUCC
rnacentral:lncRNA from 1 species